rnacentral:rRNA from 1 species
AACGAACGCUGGCGGCGUGGAUAAGACAUGCAAGUCGGACGAGAUUUUUCGUUGUAGCAAUAUGAUGGGAAGUUUAGUGGCGAACGGGUGCUUAACACGUGGGCAACCUGCCAGGAAGUGGGGGAUAGCUCGCCGAAAGGCGAAUUAAUACCGCAUGUGAUUAGAGAGGACAUCCUUUCGAAAUUAAAGUCGGGGCAACCUGACGCUUCUUGUGGGGCCCGCGGCCUAUCAGCUAGUUGGUGGGGUAACGGCUCACCAAGGCUUUGACGGGUAGCUGGUCUGAGAGGACGACCAGCCACACUGGGACUGAGACACGGCCCAGACACCUACGGGUGGCAGCAGUCGAGAAUUUUUGACAAUGGGGGAAACCCUGAUCGAGCGACGCCGCGUGGAGGAUGAAGGUCUUCGGAUUGUAAACUCCUGUCAUUGGGGAACAAUGCGUGACGGUUAACUGCCGUCGCGUUGAUAGUACCCGAAGAGGAAGAGACGGCUAACUCUGUGCCAGCAGCCGCGGUAAAAC